rnacentral:rRNA from 1 species
UACGUAGGGGGGCAAGCGUUGUCCGGAAUCAUUGGGCGUAAAGAGCGUGUAGGCGGCUCGAUAAGUCCGCUCUGAAAGCCCGGGGCUCAACCCCGGGAGGCGGGCGGAUACUGUCGAGCUAGAGUCCGGAAGAGGCGAGUGGAAUUCCUGGUGUAGCGGUGAAAUGCGCAGAUAUCAGGAGGAACACCAAUGGCGAAGGCAGCUCGCUGGACGGUACUGACGCUGAGACGCGAAGCGUGGAGCAACAGG